AUUAAGAGUCACAAAUGCUGUUAUUCCUCUGAGUAAGAGAGAAUCAAUGAGUUCGUUGUAGAACGUAACACCAGCAAAAUUAACUUUACCAAACGAUCCUCUAGGAAGGACUCUGCUCCACGAGAUAGAGAAACGAUACGAAUUCAAGCCAAUCGAGUGCAUUAACUCAACAUCUUCCUGAAAUCGAUGGUAAUGAUCAUCCGCUACAUCUCCAGUAUCUCCAUUAUUUAUCGUUCCUUUAGUAUGACUAAAAACAUCCCAAUUACUCAACCCUUUUCCAUCUUCAAGAAUUGCCCCUUCAAUUUGAUAAGCUGAAGUAGUAAUUCCAAAUAAAAACCCAUCUGGAAAUUCUGAUUUCUUCAAAUUUUUCUGUUCCUCAAAUGAAUUUAUACAAACAAAUAAUAGUAAAGA
rnacentral:misc_RNA from 1 species